GCCACCGUAGCUGAGUGGACAACGCGCCGGCUUGUCAUGCCGGAGGGCCCGGGUUCGAUUCCCGGCUGGGUUGGACA